rnacentral:tRNA from 1 species
GGUGGCUCAGUGGUAGAGUGCUUGCUUCGCAUGCAUAAGGCCCUGGGUUCAAUUCCUCAGCACCA